rnacentral:rRNA from 1 species
AUUGAACGCUGGCGGCAUGCUUUACACAUGCAAGUCGAGCGGUAACAGGCCGCAAGGUGCUGACGAGUGGCGAACGGGUGAGUAAUGCAUCGGAACGUGCCCAGCCGUGGGGGAUAACUACUCGAAAGAGUAGUUAAUACCGCAUACGAUCUAUGGAUGAAAGCGGGGGACCGUAAGGCCUCGCGCGAUUGGAGCGGCCGAUGUCAGAUUAGGUAGUUGGUGGGGUAAAGGCUCACCAAGCCAACGAUCUGUAGCUGGUCUGAGAGGACGACCAGCCACACUGGGACUGAGACACGGCCCAGACUCCUACGGGAGGCAGCAGUGGGGAAUUUUGGACAAUGGGCGCAAGCCUGAUCCAGCAAUGCCGCGUGCAGGAAGAAGGCCUUCGGGUUGUAAACUGCUUCUGUACGGAACGAAACGGCUCUGGUUAAUACCCGGGGCUAAUGACGGUACCGUAAGAAUAAGCACCGGCUAACUACGUG